ensembl:lncRNA uncharacterized LOC107307361
GGGGAAUUGGGGGGAUUUGGACACGGUCCGGUAAAUUGGGGGAUUUAGGGGGUUCUGUAAAAUGGGAUUGGGGCAUUUUGGCGCGGUAAAAUGGGGGGGAUUUGGGGGUAAAUGGGAGGGAAUUUGGGGAAUUUUGGGAACGGUCAAUAGGGGGAAUUAGGGAUUUGGGCAAUUUGGGGGGGAUUUGGGGUAAAUUGGGGGGAUUUAGGGGGGAUUUGGGGUAAAAUAGGGGGAUUUGGGGUAAAAUGGGGGUAUUUAGGGGUAAAAUGGGGGGAUUUUGGGGUAAAAUGGGGGGAUUUAAGGGUAAAAUAGGGGGAUUUGGGGUAAAAUGGGGCAUUUUGGGAUAUUUGGGGAUAAAUUGGGUGGAUUUGGGGUAUUUGGGGGUAGUUUUGGGGGGGCAUUUUGGGGUAAAUUGGGGUGAUUUAGGGCCAUUUUGGGGUUAUUUGGGGCCAUUUUGGGGUUAUUUGGGGCCAUUUUGGGGUCGUUUGGGGUUAUUUGGGGUGAUUUAUGGUCAUUUUGGUUCAUUUUAGGGUUGUUUGGGGCCAUUUUGGGGACAUUUUGGUCCAUUUUGGGAUGAUUUAGGGUCAUUUAGGGCCAUUUUGGGGUGAUUUAGGGCCAUUUUGGGCUCCUUGUGGCGGCCAUUUUGGAUGGGCUCAUUUGGCUCCGCCCCUUCUCCCACAGAGGCCGAAUUGGAGGCGGGGCUACAGCGCCGGGGGGCGGGGCUUAACCGAGCGCAUCGGCUGCUCCUAUUGGCUGAGGCAGCUGACAGUCAAAGGAAGCAGCUGAAGGCGGCACUUCCUGUCCCGCCCCCACUUCCAGGGCCGCUGGAGGCGGAGCCAGAGCUGGAGGCGGCCGUCGCCAUGGGAACAGAACCGGAAGUGCUGGCAGCGACUCGUGCCCUCUGCCGGAUGCGGGAGGAAGCCAUGAUGGAAAUGACGAAGCCACGCCCACUUCCGGAGAAGCAGCGUCUGCUGGCGGCAUCCAACCAGCAAUGGCUGCAGGCGGCUCAGGAGCUCCUUGGCCGCCAUUCCCCGCGCUCUGUGCUGUGGGCUCUGAGUCACAUGACCAAGGAAUCCAUCCGGGAGCUGCAGGCCCCGCCCAGGAGUGAGGACAUUGAACCCAAUGGGGAGCAGGGAGCUCCGCCCACCAUAGAGACCCUCAAUUUAGGAUUGUUGGAACACAGUGGGGGGGCUUUGGGCCCUGGCCCCCCCCAUAGCGGCUCGGCUGCCCCACAUGAGACAACGACUGCGGGACAUACAGGAACAGAUGGGGGAGGAGACAAGGUCUGACCCAUAAGUGACACCCCAGCCCCAUAAGUGACCACAUAGACCCAUAAGUGACCCCAUAGACCUAUAAGUGACACCCCAGCCCCAUAAGUGACCCCAUAGACCCAUAAGUGACCCCAUAGACCCAUAAAUGACCCCAUAGACCCAUAACUGCCCCCCCAAACCCAUAAAUAACCCCCAGCCCCAUAACUGUCCCCCCAGCCCCAUAAGUGCCCCACCCCAGCCCCAUAAGUGACCCCAUAGACCCAUAACUGCCCCCCCAGCCCCAUAACUAGCCCCCAGCCCCAUAAGUGCCCCCCCCCAGCCCCAUAAGUGACCCCAAAGACCCACAAGUGACACCCCAUACCCAUAAAGUGCCUUUCCAGCCCCAUAAGUGACCCCACCAGCCCCAUAUGUGUCCUUCCAGCCCCAUAAGUGACCCCUUCAGCCCCAUAAGUUACCCCCCAGCCCCAUAGGUGCCCUUCCAGCCCCAUAAGUGCCCCCCCCCAGCCCCAUAAGUGCCCUUCCAGCCCCAUAAGUGACCCACCAGCCCCAUAAGUGACACCUUCAGACCCAUAAGUGACACCUUCAGCCCCAUAAGUGCCCUUCAAGCCCCAUAAGUGCCUUUCCAGCCCCAUAAGUGACACCUUCAGCCCCAUAAGUGACACCUUCAGCUCCAUAAGUGACCUACAAGCCCCAUAAGUGCCUUCCCCAGCCCCAUAAGUGACCUCCCCAGCCCCAUAAGUGCCCUUCCAGCCCCAGAAGUGCCCUUCCAGCCCCAUAAGUGACCCCCCCAGCCCCAUAAGUGCCUUUCCAGCCCCAUAAGUGACCCCUUCAGCCCCAUAAGUGCCCCCCCAGGCCCCAUAAGUGACCUUCUAGCCCCAUAAGUGCCCCCUUCAGCCCCAUAAGUGACCCCCCCUGCCCCAUAAGUGCCCUUCCAGCCCCAUAAGUGCCC